rnacentral:rRNA from 1 species
CGGCUAACUACGUGCCAGCAGCCGCGGUAAUACGUAGGNGGCAAGCGUUGUUCGGAAUCAUUGGGCGUAAAGCGCGCGCAGGCGGUCCNNUAAGUCNGANGUGAAANCCCUNGGCUCAANNNNGGAGGGUCAUUGGAAACUNNNNGACUNGAGANCNGAAGAGGAAAGCGGAAUUCCAAGUGUAGCGGUGAAAUUCGUAGAGAUUUGGAGGAACACCAGUGGCGAAGGCGGCUNUCUGGUUUGUAUCUGACGCUGAGGCGCGAAAGCGUGGGGAGCAAACAGGAUUAGAUACCCUGGUAGUCCACGCCGUAAACGAUGAGUGCUAAGUGUUAGGGGGUUUCCGCCCCUUAGUGCUGCAGCUAACGCAUUAAGCACUCCGCCUGGGGAGUACGGUCGCAAGACUGAAACUCAAAGGAA